rnacentral:rRNA from 1 species
AGAGUUUGAUCAUGGCUCAGAUUGAACGCUGGCGGCGUGCCUAACACAUGCAAGUCGAGCGGUAACAGGUGUAGCAAUACAUGCUGACGAGCGGCGGACGGGUGAGCAAUGUUUGGGAAUCUGCCUAUUAGUGGGGGACAACCCGGGGAAACUCGGGCUAAUACCGCAUACGAUCUACGGAUGAAAGCCGGGGACCGCAAGGCCUGGCGCUAAUAGAUGAGCCCAAAUCGGAUUAGCUAGUUGGUGGGGUAACGGCCUACCAAGGCGACGAUCCGUAGCUGGUUUGAGAGAACGACCAGCCACACCGGAACUGAGACACGGUCCGGACUCCUACGGGAGGCAGCAGUGGGGAAUAUUGGACAAUGGGGGCAACCCUGAUCCAGCGACGCCGCGUGGGUGAAGAAGGCCUGCGGGUUGUAAAGCCCUUUCGGUGGGGAUGAAAAGCUCCGUUCUAACACAGCGGGGUCUUGACCUAACCCAAGAAAGAAGCACCGGCUAACUCUGUGCCAGCAGCCGCGGUAAUACAGAGGGUGCGAGCGUUAAUCGGAAUUACUGGGCGUAAAGCGCACGUAGGUGGCUUUGCAAGUCGAUUGUGAAAUCCCCGGGCUUAACCUGGGAACUGCAGUCGAGACUGCUUUGCUUGAGUAUGGGAGAGGGAGGUGGAAUUUCCGGUGUAGCGGUGAAAUGCGUAGAUAUCGGAAGGAACAUCAGUGGCGAAAGCGACCUCCUGGACCAAUACUGACACUCAAGUGCGAAAGCGUGGGGAGCAAACAGGAUUAGAUACCCUAGUAGUCC